rnacentral:rRNA from 1 species
GUAGUCCACGCCGUAAACGAUGUCGACUUGGAGGCUGUGAGCUUGACUCGUGGCUUCCGGAGCUAACGCGUUAAGUCGACCGCCUGGGGAGUACGGCCGCAAGGUUAAAACUCAAAUGAAUUGACGGGGGCCCGCACAAGCGGUGGAGCAUGUGGUUUAAUUCGAUGCAACGCGAAGAACCUUACCUGGUCUUGACAUCCACGGAAUUCUGCAGAGAUGCGGAAGUGCCUUCGGGAACCGUGAGACAGGUGCUGCAUGGCUGUCGUCAGCUCGUGUUGUGAAAUGUUGGGUUAAGUCCCGCAACGAGCGCAACCCUUAUCCUUUGUUGCCAGCGGUUCGGCCGGGAACUCAAAGGAGACUGCCGGUGAUAAACCGGA